rnacentral:rRNA from 1 species
UACAGAGGGGGCAAGCGUUGCUCGGAAUCACUGGGCGUAAAGCGCACGUAGGCGGCUUGUUAAGUCAGGGGUGAAAUCCCGAGGCUCAACCUCGGAACUGCCUUUGAUACUGGGGAUCUCGAGUCCGGGAGAGGUGAGUGGAACUGCGAGUGUAGAGGUGAAAUUCGUAGAUAUUCGCAAGAACACCAGUGGCGAAGGCGGCUCACUGGCCCGGAACUGACGCUGAGGUGCGAAAGCGUGGGGAGCAAACAGG